GACGAACGCUGGCGGCGUGCUUAACCCAUGCAAGUCGAACGAAGUGGCGAACGGGUGAGUAACGCGUAAUCAACCUGCCCUUCAGAGGGGGACAACAGUUGGCAACGACUGAUAAUACCGCAUACUGAAGGAGGGGAUUCCGUCUGAUUAGUGUGUUGGAGCGGUAACGGCCCACCAAGGCGAUGAUCAGUAGCGGUGCUGAGAGGACGAGCGGCCACAUUGGGACUGAGACACGGCCCAGACUCCUACGGGAGGCAGCAGGGGGGAAGCUUCCGCCAGGGAAGAAAGUCUGACGGAGCAACGCCGCGUGAGUAGUGACGGCGUUCGGGUUGUAAAGCUCUGUUAAUCGGGACGCGGUACCGGAAUAGAAAGCCACGGCUAACUACGUGCCAGCAGCCGCGGUAAUUC
rnacentral:rRNA from 1 species